UACGUAGGUGGCAAGCGUUAUCCGGAACGUUAUUCGGGCGUAAAGAGCGCGCAGGUGGUUGAUUAAGUCUGAUGUAAAAGCCCACGGCUUAACCGUGGAGGGUCAUUGGAAACUGGUCGACUUGAGUGCAGAAGAGGUAAGUGGAAUUCCCAGUGUAGCGGUGAAAUGCGUAGAGAUUGGGAAGAACACCAGUGGCGAAGGCGACUUACUGGGCUGUAACUGACGCUGAGGCGCGAAAGCGUGGGGAGCGAACAGGAUUAGAUACCCGUGUAGUCCCU
rnacentral:rRNA from 1 species